rnacentral:misc_RNA from 1 species
GUAUUUAAUUUAAAGGCUAAAAGCCAUAUAAAAGACAUUCUAUGACAUACGAUGGGUGUAUAAAAACAUAGGCCUGGAUGUGUAAGAAGAGUCGAUGCCCUAGGGGUACCGACAAUUCUCUGACCAAACCAGAAGGCUUGAGAGUUAUCCAGGUCUACAAAAGGUGCACAGGUGGUAAAAUAAGGAAGAAGGCGUGCACAUGCUCCGAGAAGCCAGCACAACCUCCAACUUUAAUUCAAUAAUGAUCCUUCCGCAGGUUCACCUACGGAAA